AUUGAACGCUGGCGGAAGGCCUAACACAUGCAAGUCGAACGAGUGGCGGACGGGUGAGUAAUGUCUGGGAAACUGCCCGAUGGAGGGGGAUAACUACUGGAAACGGUAGCUAAUACCGCAUACCAUCGGAUGUGCCCAGAUGGGAUUAGCUAGUAGGUGGGGUAACGGCUCACCUAGGCGACGAUCCCUAGCUGGUCUGAGAGGAUGAACAGCCACACUGGAACUGAGACACGGUCCAGACGCCGACGGGAGGAAGCAGUGGGGAAGAUUGCACAAUGGGCGCAAGCCUGAUGCAGCCAUGCCGCGUGUAUGAAGAAGGCCUUCGGGUUGUAAAGUACUUUCAGCGGGGAGGCGUUACCCGCAGAAGAAGCACCGGCUAACUCCGUGCCAGCCGCCGCGGUAUAC
rnacentral:rRNA from 1 species